rnacentral:rRNA from 1 species
UUGCGCCCGCGAGUAUUCUCGCGGGCAUGCCUGUUCGAGCGUCAUUUCAACCAUCAAGCCCCCGGCUUGUGUUGGGGACCUGCGGCUGCCCGCAGGCCCUGAAAUCCAGUGGCGGGCUCGCUGUCGCACCGAGCGUAGUAGCAUACUUCUCGCUCCGGGAGCGCGGCGGGCGCCUGCCGUAAAACCCCCUACAUACCAAAGGUUGACCUCGGAUCAGGUAGGAAUACCCGCUGAACUUAAGCAUAUCAAUAAGCGGAGGAAAAGAAACCAACAGGGAUUGCCCUAGUAACGGCGAGUGAAGCGGCAACAGCUCAAAUUUGAAAUCUGGCCUCGGCCCGAGUUGUAAUUUGUAGAGGAAGCUUUUGGCACGGCACCUGCUGAGUCCCCUGGAACGGGGCGCCAUAGAGGGUGAGAGCCCCGUAUAGCAGGACGCCUAGCCUCUGUAAAGCUCCUUCGACGAGUCGAGUAGUUUGGGAAUGCUGCUCAAAAUGGGAGGUAAAUUUCUUCUAAAGCUAAAUACCGGCCAGAGACCGAUAGCGCACAAGUAGAGUGAUCGAAAGAUGAAAAGCACUUUGAAAAGAGGGUUAAAUAGCACGUGAAAUUGUUGAAAGGGAAGCGCUUGUGACCAGACUCGCGCCGGGCUGAUCAUCCGAGCUUCUGCUCGGUGCACUCUGCCCGGCUCGGGCCAGCAUCGGUUCUUGCGGGGGGAUAAAGGCCCUGGGAACGUAGCUCCUCCGGGAGUGUUAUAGCCCGGGGUGUAAUGCCCUCGCGGGGACCGA